rnacentral:rRNA from 1 species
GACGAACGCUGGCGGCGUGCCUAAUACAUGCAAGUCGAGCGGAAGUUGGAGAGCUUGCUCUUUAACUUUAGCGGCGGACGGGUGAGUAACACGUGGGCAACCUGCCCUGCAGAUCGGGAUAACUCCGGGAAACCGGUGCUAAUACCGAAUAGUUUUCGCCACCUCCUGGUGGCGUACGGAAAGACGGUUUCGGCUGUCACUGCAGGAUGGGCCCGCGGCGCAUUAGCUAGUUGGUGGGGUAACGGCCAACCAAGGCGACGAUGCGUAGCCGACCGGAGAGGGAGAUCGGCCACACUGGGACUGAGACACGGCCCAGACUCCCACGGGAGGCAGCAGUAGGGAAUCUUCCGCAAUGGACGAAAGUCUGACGGAGCAACGCCGCGUGGGUGACGAAGGUUUUCGGAUCGUAAAGCUCUGUUGUGAGGGAAGAACAAGUACCACUUAACUACUGGUACCUUGACGGUACCUCACCAGAAAGCCACGGCUAACUACGUGCCAGCCGCCGCCGUAA